rnacentral:lncRNA from 1 species
UAUGAUACUGUGAUGUCUGCCAUAACGCCUAACCAGGGAAUUUCUUUAUUCUUUUUUAUCUUUUCCGUAGUCUUUUCAGCACUGUUUCCUUUCAUUACAAUGAAGUUGAGAAACUAUUGCAAGAAACCUAGAUUAUUGUCAUGAUUUAUAAACUGGAGAACUACUUGAACAGCAUCUUCCUGUAUUUUGUUCUUUUGAGGUUCAAUCAGGACGUGUUGAGAUUCUAAAUGAAUAACUACUUAUGAGAUUUAUUACAAUCACUUUUACUUGAUCGAGUUUAAAUAGUCUUAUAUGAAAAUAGGUUGACGUGUUGUUUUCUUGAAUGCUUCCAUAGUGUUUUACUAUUUAACAAACUCUCAAAUGAAGACCAAGAACAUUAUUCUAUAUUAUCAUUGACUUUGAAUUUGCUAAACAACUUGAAUAUUAGGAUUACCUCAAUUCAAGUGUUGGCUGCAGUUGUUGAUUGUUUCUUAGAGACUUGUCCAAAGGUGUAGAGUAGUGAUCAAUGAAGUGGGGAAAGUCAUGGGAGACCAAAACUCUAAGCAGAAGAAUGCUAGAAUAGAAACUUAUCAGUUCAUUGAUAUAGCAUCUUUUCGUUAUGAAUUUGUGCUAGCAUUGCAUGAUACUCUUUGUAGUAAUUAUGUAAUGCGAUGCGUUUGGAUCAGGUUUCUGACAUUGGAGUCGUUGUUAGUAGUCUGUAGUGCCUGUUUAAUUUAGUCGUUGAGAGUGAUUCUGCUUGUUCUUUUACUAAAUGCAUGUCACUACAGCAGCCAUUACAUCUGUAUUCUGUAACAAACAAUACUAUUGUACUAUCUAUAUGCCUUGGCUGGAUUCAAAGAUCACACUUUUAGAAAUGGCACCAAUGAACCAUGUUCUAUACUUAAUUUGGUUACAAGAUGCAAAGAGUUUGGGUCCCUAAUUCAUUUUGAUAUGAUAAUAUAUGCAUGGUAGAAAUAACAUUGUUAAAUGUAGUGAUUUGUGGAUCUGUUAUAAAGAAGAGUUGCUUUUUCAGCUUCUUGUUGUUUUUAGGAAGUAGAAAUUUGGGUCUCUUCAAGAAUGUGAAUUGCCUUGUGAACGUGUCAUGUGUUGCAGUUCAUUUAGUAUAACUAAAGAUCAAACAUGUUCCCUUCUCCCUGCCUAAUUCUCUCUCCCCCCCUUAAAACUUUUCUUGGGGGCACGGACGUGAUACGAGUUGAAACCAAAAGGUUAAUGUGGAAGUCAUGUAAGAUUGUUUUCAAGUGUCUAGAAAAAGGUGUCUCUUGGAAAAAGUUUUGUUUUUUCUUGGAGAACCUUUCUGGGCAGUACAAUAGGUAUUGCCUGUAGGUUUGUUGGUUCUGUUUUGCUGUAAUGUGUAAUUUGUUCAACGAUAAUACUGCAAGUUAGUUUUGCUUUCCUUUGAUUGUUAGACAGAUAAUGUCAUUACUUUGCCGUAGACACAUCACAAGUACUUUUGUUCUGUCUAGCUGUCCUAUCUUAUGACUUGCCUUUGAGUAAAGAGUAGCCUGGAAUUGAUCUGGUCAAUGGUUGGCAGGUCGGUUCCCUGCCUGAGUGGAUCAUUGGAGUGGCGGAUUGCAAGUGUUUAGCGAGAUGCGACCUUUAAAUGAAAGAGUAUAUUUCCCCAGGCAAGAAAAAUUUUGAGCAUGACUAUGCCAUUGGGACAGACUACUAGGCAGAAUUCUACCAUUGAUGACUGACUUUAUGUAUGGUUUACACAGAAGCAGAAUCGGACUAAAAGAGUGAAAGCUCCUUUUGCUUUUCAAAACAAAUAUUGAAUUGUGCAUAUUCUCAAUUGAUGCUGGAUGUGUUGAGAUUCUAGGGCCCGUUUGGCCAUGCGAUAUGGUAUCAUGAUAUGAUAUCAUAAUAUGGAAUUAUGAGAUGAAAUUGAAGUUUUGUUUGGACAUGCGAUAUGGAAUAUUGAUGUUGUAUAUUUUCUCAUUAACAUGAGAAUCUCAUAAGUUGUAAAAUUAUUAAAAUAGCCCUAAUUAUUUAUCCAAUCUUACCAAAUAAACAAAAAUUUAUAAAAUCGCAUAAUAUAUUAGUAUUACAUUGUUAUUUGUUCUCCACUUAAGUAACUGUUUCAUCUAACUUUAAUUCAAUAAAAAAUUGAACAUAAAUUGUAGUGUACUAGUCUUUAAUAUUACUCAACAAUCGGUUGGUGUGAGUUAAAGUGACUAUAUGUUAGUGAGAAUAAUAAAUUUUAUGUCGGUGAGAAUAAUAAAUUUUAAAAAGUAACGAUGUCAUUCUAAAUUUUGUUUACAUAUAAAAUAAAUGGUUAGUAGAUAUAAAUGUGGGGUUGUUUUAACAAAAUAUAAACUUGUGGAUCAAUUUUUGUAUUAAAAAUAUCUCAAUUUUUGGAGAAUAUGGAAUCACAUAUCAUGAUAUGGAAUCAUGAGAUGGAAUCAGCAUAAAAUCGCAUGUUCCAUCCCAUGAUACCAUAUCGUGAUAUGGUAUCGCAUGGCCAAAUGCCUACUAAAUCAAAAACAGUUUAUGAGAUUUAUUACAAUCACUUUUACUUUUAUCGCUUUAAAAUGGUCUUAUAUGAAAGUAGGUUGACAUGUUGUUUUCUUGACGCUACCAUAGUAUUUUACUAUUAAACAAACUCUCAAAUGAAGUCCAACCUGUGUCAAGUCUGAAUUCAGGUACUGAGCAUUACAUGUGUAUUCUGUAACAAACAAUAAUAUAAUAGUGCAGUGUCUAUAUGCCUUGGCUGAAUACAAAGAUCACACUGUUAGAAAUGGCACCAAUGAACCAUGUUCUAACUUCUAUACAUAAUUUGGUUACAAUAUACAAAGAGUUUGGGUCCCUAAUUCAUUUUGAUAUGGUAAUAUAAAUAACAUUAUAAAAUGAUUUGUGCAUCUGUUACAGAGAAGGGUAGCUUUUUCAGCCUCGUGUUGUUUUCAGGAAGUAGAAAUUUGGGUUUCUUGAUGAGUGUGAAUUGCCUUGUGAAUGUGUGAUGUGUGAUGUGUUGCAGUUCAUUUAGGAUAAGCUUGUUUUCAAGUGUGUAGAUGUUUCUUGGACUUCUUUUUUGUUUUUGAUUGUUAGUUUCUUGGAGAGCCUUUCUGGAAGCAUAAAUUGCCCUUUGGUUUGUUGGUUCUGUUUUGAUGUAAUGUGUAAUUUGUUCAAUGUUAAUACUGCAAGUUAGUCUUGCUUUCCUGUGAUAGUUGGACAGUAUUACUGUACAUGAUAAAGGCCUUUGUUAACGACUCGCAAAUACUUCUGUUCUGUCUUCAUGGCUUUCCUUUGAGUAGAGAGAAGCCUGAAUUGAUCUAGUCAAUGGUUGGGUUGAUUCCCUGUAAUUGGAGCAGCUGAUCGCAAGUGUUUACAGUGAUGCGACCCCUAGCACUUUGUUUGCAUGGUUGUUACGUUGUUUCAUAAUGUAUUGUAUUAUAUCAUAUUGUUUGUAUCGUUCUCAGGGUACGAAGUAGAGUUACUGAAAGGUAAGAGGAAAAUUUGAACUACGAUGCCGUUGGGUAGGGCCGACUCAACAAGAUCGGGGGCAUAAAGCCAAACCUUAAAGACAAGCCCUAAUAUUUUGUUUCUUUAAUCUCUUUAAUAACUUUAUUCUUACCUUCACUUGCCAAUAAGUUAAAUAAUUUAUUUGUAUAUUAUGUCCGAGGUAAUGAAUAUGAAUUUCGUCAUGCUUAUUCUUCAAAUAUGUUCUUGCAUAGCUGGAUCAAAUUAAUUAAUCAUUUCAAUUAGGCUUUAAAAAUUACCGUUACUUUCUUGAUAGAUCUUUCCAUUUGUUCUCCUAAAUGCUAAAUUAUUUUUCCAUAGAGUUUUGAUCACGUCACCAAUUCUUGACAAUACAUUUUUCCACUGCACUUUAUCUCUAUCAAUUUGUUCCUGCACAACUUAUCAAUUGUUUUUUAAUGCAAACUCAUUUCUAAAUCAAUACAUGAGCUCAUAUUAUUAAUAAUGUGUUCAUUCUUUACUUCAUGGACUUUGAGCUUAACACGAAGAUUUCUCACUCAUUAUUACCUUCACUAGCUAGUUACUAUUACAAAUAAUAGAAGUUGUGCUAAAUAAUUUACAACAAAAACAAAAAAUUUUUAUCCAAAUCUUUAGAGUAGAUUAAUCAUUUUCUUUCAUGCUUUUCUCCGUUUACCAAUUUUUGAAUAUAGUGUGUUGUAGACUUAUGCGGUACGUAUUUAUCUUGUGGAAAAUUUAUAUAAGUCAUUCUAAAUUGUCCCUUUUCUAUUACUAGAUCUCUCAAUUUUGUAUCUACAUUAUUCCAUUGACUUGGAUCAUAUAUAUUUUUAGGGAUGCAACUAUUUAAAUUAUUUAGGAGUUCUUGAUAUCGGGAACAAUGUCAUACUUUCACCAACUUCUUCUAGAUUUUAUUCUUGUAUAUUAUUAUUAUCUAACUCAAUUCUAUUGAUGACUUGUUCAUUUGAAGAUCAUCCUCCAAUAUUUUUUGAUUCGAAAUAUUUAUUAUUUGUUAAAAAUCUAUCAAAGGCUCUUUUUUAAGAUUUAUUUAAUUCUUCAAGUUUUCUCUCUUUCUGCAAAAUCAGAAUCAUGUUUUCUAGUUGACAUAUUAAAAUUGAAUAAAUUUUAAUAACAAUUAAAACAAUUUACAUAUACUUAAGAAUAUCAACAAUAACAAUUUUUCAAGAAAUACUAUAAAACCUCUUACACGUUUUCUUUCUUCAAAAAGUUAAUAUAAUUUUUUUAAUAUUAUGUAUAAGUAUUUUUUUUAAAAAAAUAGGAGCUUCAAAGAAUAUUGAACUCAAGCGAUAUUUUUAGUGACCUAAUGGUUAAGACGGCCCUGCCGUUGGGACAGGCAGAAUUCUAGUGCGCCUUUGAAGAAGUCUAAAGUUACUGGGGACUUCGUUUCUUCGUUAUCAUCAUUAUCAUAGUCUCUUUAGGACUGUUUCCCGUCAUUUCAGUGAUGUUGAUGAACUAUUGCAAGAAACCUAGAAUCUUGUCAUGAUUUAUAAACUAGACAGCUACUUGAACAGCAUCUUCCUGUAUUUUCUUCUUCUUUUGAGGUUCAAUCAGCAAGUGUUGAGAUUCUAAAUAAAAAAUUACUUCUGAGAUUUAUUACCA